rnacentral:rRNA from 1 species
UACGGGGGGGGCAAGCGUUGUUCGGAAUUACUGGGCGUAAAGGCUCGUAGGCGGCCAACUAAGUCAGACGUGAAAUCCCUCGGCUUAACCGGGGAACUGCGUCUGAUACUGGAUGGCUAGAGGUUGGGAGAGGGAUGCGGAAUUCCAGGUGUAGCGGUGAAAUGCGUAGAUAUCUGGAGGAACACCGGUGGCGAAGGCGGCAUCCUGGACCAAUUCUGACGCUGAGGAGCGAAAGCCAGGGGAGCAAACGGG